rnacentral:misc_RNA from 1 species
UUUCCGUAGGUGAACCUGCGGAAGGAUCAUUAUUGGAUUUUGAAACUUCAGGCUGCUGCUGGCUCUCUUCGGAGGGCAUGUGCACGCUUGUUGUCCAUUAUUUCUCCCACUGUGCACAAAUUGUAAACCUUUCAGUAGGCCUAUGUUGUUUUUCACAAUCUCUGAAUGUAAUAGAAUGGUUUUGAAUCUUGGGAAAUACAAUACAACUUUCAGCAACGGAUCUCUUGGCUCUC